GGUUUUAUGGUGUAAUGGUUAGCACGCUGUACUCUGAAUCCAGCAAUCUGAGUUCAAAUCUCGGUAGGACCU
rnacentral:tRNA from 1 species